AAACUCAAAUGAAUUGACGGGGACCCGCACAAGCAGCGGAGCGUGUGGUUUAAUUCGUUGCUACACGAAGAACCUUACCUGGGUUUGACAUAUAGGUUGUAGGGAACUGAAAAGGGACCGACCCUUCGGGGAGCCUAUACAGGUGUUGCAUGGCUGUCGUCAGCUCGUGUCGUGAGAUGUUCGGUUAAGUCCGCUAACGAGCGCAACCCUCGUCGUAUGUUAUAUGUGUCAUACGAGACUGCCGGUAAAAAGCCGGAGGAAGGUGGGAUGAUGUCAAGUCAGCAUGGCCUUUAUAUCCUGGGCUACACACACGCUACAAUGGCCAACACAAUAGGUUGCUAAGCCGCGAGGUGGCGCCAAUCCAUAAAGUUGGUCUCAGUUCAGAUUGUAGGCUACAACCCGCCUGCAUGAAGAUGGAGUUGCUAGUAACCGCAGGUCAGCUAUACUGCGGUGAAUACGUUCCCGGGGCUU
rnacentral:rRNA from 1 species